ACUCCGGCCCCAUCAGCUCAUGGGCAGGGAAGACGCAGGGAAGGGGACAUGGGGACUUCUUGCAAUGGAGCAGUUGACAGAAUCAGAACUACCUGCCAGGGGGCAAAAUUAGAGCCAGAAAUGAGUCUGGAGCUACAUGGACCUAGGAAGAAUAUUUAGAAGCCCUGCCCUCAUGAACUGGGAAGGAAGAAAAGACACCUUCCCCCACAACGCCACAGGAGCUAUCAAAUGUGCUCUUUUUAAAGUCAUUUCUAUUCUUUAAAAAAAUGCACCAUUGUGGUGCAGCCACUGUGAAAAGCAGCAUGGCGCUUCCUCAAACAAUUAAAAACAGAAUUACUCUGUGAUCUAACAAUUCCAAAAUGUGUACGGCCAUGUCCAUUUUAGCAUUAGUCACGAUACCCAAAAGGUGGAGGCAAGCCAGUGUCCACUGAAGCCUGAAGGGAUCAACAAAAUCUGGUAUAUACAUGCAAUGGAGUGUGGUUCCACCUAGAAAAGGAGGGAAAUUCUGGCACCUGCUACACAGGGGUGAACUCGAAGACAUUAUGCCAAGUGAAAUAAGCUGGUCACAAAAGGACAAAUACUGCGUGAUUCCAUUCAUAGGAGGUGCCUAGAGGAGUCAAGAUCACAGAGACAGAAAGAAUAGUGGUGUCAGCGACUGGGGAGUUAGCGUUUGAUGGGCACAGGGUUUGUUUUGCAAGAGGAAGAGGUUCUGGAGAUUGUUUGCACGGCACUGUGGAGCUGCUC
rnacentral:lncRNA from 1 species